UACGAAGGGGGGCUAGCGUUGCUCGGAAUCACUGGGCGUAAAGGGUGCGUAGGCGGGUCUUAAGUCAGAGGUGAAAUCCUGGAGCUCAACUCCAGAACUGCCUUUGAUACUGAGGAUCUUGAGUUCGGGAGAGGUGAGUGGAACUGCGAGUGUAGAGGUGAAAUUCGUAGAUAUUCGCAAGAACACCAGUGGCGAAGGCGGCUCACUGGCCCGAUACUGACGCUGAGGCACGAAAGCGUGGGGAGCAAACAGGG
rnacentral:rRNA from 1 species